rnacentral:lncRNA from 1 species
GUUUGGAUGAAGAAGGAUUCUUCAAUAGAAGUUUUGAUCAGAACUUUAUUUUUAUUGGGACAAAAAUUGAAUGCUUUAUUGAGAAGAUUUCACUGAUAGUACAUUCUAAGAUUUUCAGCAUUUUAUGUCCUUGGGAUGGUUGUACCAUCCAGAUUUUCAAUCCGAAAAGCUCCUGACUGAAUUACUUUGGUAAUCCGAUAUGGU